rnacentral:rRNA from 1 species
CGGGGGGGGCAAGCGUUGUUCGGAAUUACUGGGCGUAAAGGGCUCGUAGGCGGCCAACUAAGUCCGACGUGAAAUCCCCAGGCUCAACCUGGGAACUGCGUCGGAUACUGGAUGGCUUGAAUUCGGGAGAGGGAUGCAGAAUUCCAGGUGUAGCGGUGAAAUGCGUAGAUAUCUGGAGGAAUACCGGUGGCGAAGGCGGCAUCCUGGACCGACAUUGACGCUGAGGAGCGAAAGCUAGGGGAGCAAACGGGAUUAGAUACCCCGGUAGUCCUAGCCCUAAACGAUGAAUGCUUGGUGUGACGGGUAUCGAUCCCUGUCGUGCCGAAGCUAACGCAUUAAGCAUUCCGCCUGGGGAGUACGGUCGCAGGGCUG